rnacentral:rRNA from 1 species
GAGUUUGAUUAUGGCUCAGAUUGAACGCUGGCGGCAGGCUUAACACAUGCAAGUCGAGCGGAAACGAUGGGAGCUUGCUCCCAGGCGUCGAGCGGCGGACGGGUGAGUAACGCGUAGGAAUCUGCCCAAUAGUGGGGGAUAGCCCGGGGAAACUCGGAUUAAUACCGCAUACGCCCUACGGGGGAAAGCAGGGGAUCUUCGGACCUUGCGCUAAUGGAGGAGCCUGCGUUGGAUUAGCUUGUUGGUGGGGUAACGGCCUACCAAGGCGACGAUCCAUAGCUGGUCUGAGAGGAUGAUCAGCCACACCGGAACUGAGACACGGUCCGGACUCCUACGGGAGGCAGCAGUGGGGAAUAUUGGACAAUGAGGGCAACCUUGAUCCAGCCAUGCCGCGUGUGUGAAGAAGGCCUUCGGGUUGUAAAGCACUUUAAGUUGUGGAGAAGGCUGUACGGUUAAUACCCGUGCGGAUUGACAUUAGCAACAGAAUAAGCACCGGCUAACUCCGUGCCAGCAGCCGCGGUAAUACGGAGGGUGCAAGCGUUAAUCGGAAUUACUGGGCGUAAAGCGCGCGUAGGUGGUUUGUUAAGUCGGAUGUGAAAGCCCAGGGCUCAACCUUGGAACUGCAUUCGAUACUGGCAGGCUAGAGUAUGGUAGAGGGAGGUAGAAUUCCACGUGUAGCGGUGAAAUGCGUAGAGAUGUGGAGGGAAUACCAGUGGCGAAGGCGGCCUCCUGGGACUAAUACUGACACUGAGGUGGCGAAAGCGUGGGGGGAGCAAAACAGGAUUAAGAUACCCCUGGGUUAGUUCCCACGCCCGUAAAACGGAAUGGU